UGCGUGGAGCAGAUCUCAUGUUGAACAUCACUGUGAAGUACAAUGGUGAAAAAUCAACUACCAACAUGGUUAUCGUGAACAUGAAACUCUUGUCGGGUUUCACAGCAGAUAUGUCACUGAUUCAUUUGCUCAACUUGGAUCUCCACCAGAUUAAUUUGCUCCAUUAGUGCAGCGGGUUGAUACUGGAGAUGACCAUGUGCUUGUGUAUCUGAAAGAGGUUCCCAAGGGCGUCCCCAUGACCUACAGGCUACAACUGAAACAGGUUCUUGCAGUGCAGAAUCUCAAGCCAGCGGUCGUUGAGGUUUAUGACUACUAUCAGCCAAGUGAUGUGUUUGAGACCACAUACAUGCCUCCCUGUCCAUGAUUGUGCUUCAUUUCUGGCUAUAGGAUGCAUGAAUGAAAUAAAAAAAUAAAUAAAAAAAGUU